CCAAUAGCGUAUAUUAAAGUUGUUGCAGUUAAAAAGCUCGUAGUUGAACUUCAGGCCUGUCCAGAUGGUCCGCCUUAAUUGGUGUGUACUGUCCUUGGGUGGGUCCUACCUUCUGGCGAAGCGGCAUGGCCUUAGUUGGUUGUGUCGGGGAAGCAGGACUUUUACUGUGAAAAAAUUAGAGUGUUCAAAGCAGGCAUAUAUGCUCGAAUACAUUAGCAUGGAAUAAUGGAAUAGGACGAUGGUUCUAUUUUGUUGGUUCUAGGACCGUUGUAAUGAUUAAUAGGGAUAGUUGGGGGAAUUAGUAUUCAAUUGUCAGAGGUGAAAUUCUUGGAUUUAUUGAAGACUAACUACUGCGAAAGCAUUUGCCAAGGAUGUUUUCAUUAAUCAAGAACGAAAGUUAGGGGAUCGAAGACGAUCAGAUACCGUCGUAGUCUUAACCAUAAACUAUGCCGACUAGGAAUCGGGCGAUGUUGACAAAAUGACUCGCUCGGCACCUCAUG
rnacentral:rRNA from 1 species